UUUCCGUAGGUGAACCUGCGGAAGGAUCAUUACGGAGUUCAUGCCCUCACGGGUAGAUCUCCCACCCUUGAAUAUUUAUACCUUAGUUGCUUUGGCAGGCCGUGGAAACACCAUGGGCUCCGGCUUAUGCGUGCCUGCCAGAGGAAACAAACUCUGUUUUUAGUGAUGUCUGAGUACUAUAUAAUAGUUAAAACUUUCAACAACGGAUCUCUUGGUUCUG
rnacentral:misc_RNA from 1 species